UACGAAGGGUGCAACCGUUGCUCGGAAUCAUUGGGCGUAAAGCGUCUGUAGGUGGCUUUUUAAGUCCGCCGUCAAAUCCCAGGGCUCAACUCUGGACAGGCGGUGGAAACUACCAAGCUGGAGUACGGUAGGGGCAGAGGGAAUUUCCGGUGGAGCGGUGAAAUGCGUAGAGAUCGGAAAGAACACCAACGGCGAAAACACUCUGCUGGGCCGACACUGACACUGAGAGACGAAAGCUAGGGGAGCGAAUGGG
rnacentral:rRNA from 1 species